CUGGUCCAACCUGCAAUGCCACGCUCCGUGUAUUUGACAAGCUGAGUUGGACACUCCAUGUAGUAGAGUGUCAGUUUGUCAAAUACCCCAAGUGCGGCAUAUGCCUAG
rnacentral:pre_miRNA from 1 species